CUGUUCAGAAGGCGCUUCACUUGAAAGCCAAGAUGACAUUAUGGGUUCCAUGUCCACCCUUCAUAAAUUGCCAUUUUUAUCGACGACUCCAUCUAAUGGCAAGUCCACCAGCACGUUCAGAAAGAACUGGCAUUCCCAGACAGCUCCAUCCCACUGCCAAACCGCCUGGACUCCUGGAACUGCCCUGAGGGCACCCAGAUGGCACGGAGAUGGAAGACCAGAGCUACCAGAUGGGAAAAGCCCGACUUGCUCUUCGCUAAUAAGUUGAGAAGUCUGAGCCAGGCAUCCUGGGAUGGGCUGAGAAGCAGAACUAGCAGCAUUCAGAAGUACCGAUUUCCCCUGCC